rnacentral:ncRNA from 1 species
GCAAAUGCGAUGAUAGGAAUAAAAGUUUUACCGCUUUUUCAGAGAGCCGCCGGGUGGUGUGAGACGGCACUGCGAUAAAAUCAUAACUCGUCCUUGAGCAGUCGGCUGAAAGAACAAGUAGGCUGGAACGGUUUUCUCCCGUUAUCGAGAAACGCAUUGUUCGAUGCGGCUGAGUGGGCGCGCAAGCGUCAAGAAGAGUGGUACCACGGAAGUAAGAUUUUUACCUUCGUCUCUUUA